CUUGGGAGCUGAGGCUGGUGAGGAGCAGAGGAUGAGGAACUGAGAUACUUUAUGGAAAGUCCACACAUUCCAGAAAGCUCCAUGGAAGCCCCUUACAGGCCCCAGACAAGGGGCUUCAUUCUGAGGGACUAGAACAUCGGUUGCGGAAUGUGGAAACCAGGUUAACUGAGUAUUAUUGGCAACUAACACACCUGCAGAGCUUUGCAGUUGAAGAAGCACUUAGAUUUUUGAUGCACACUGAGAGGGUCCUUUUUAAUCAGCUGAGGAGCAAGGGAUUCCUGAGCCACAAAUGAGGCUCUCCCUACUGGAAUGCAGAAGGAAGGACAAGAGAUGAGCCUUUACUGAGAUGCUGCUAUCUGCUGGGCACUUUACACACACACAGUUAUGCCAUUUAGUCCACACUGUAACUGGGGAGGGAGUUGUUGCUUCCUGUGCUUCUCAUAUGAGAAAACUGAGGCUGAGAGAGGCUCAAGGGCUCCCAUAACUGAAGACCCGUGCCUUCGCUGCUGCCACUCAACCUCUGGGUGGGGGAUGGGGUGCUCAGUCCACGUGGAAGGAAGAGAGAAAUAGAAUGUCACAG
rnacentral:lncRNA from 1 species